AUUGAACGCUGGCGGCAUGCCUUACACAUGCAAGUCGAACGGUAACAGGUCUUCGGAUGCUGACGAGUGGCGAACGGGUGAGUAAUACAUCGGAACGUGCCCAGUAAUGGGGGAUAGCUCGGCGAAAGCCGGAUUAAUACCGCAUACGCCCUGAGGGGGAAAGUGGGGGAUCGCAAGACCUCACGUUAUUGGAGCGGCCGAUGGCUGAUUAGCUAGUUGGUAGGGUAAAGGCCUACCAAGGCGACGAUCAGUAGCUGGUCUGAGAGGACGAUCAGCCACACUGGGACUGAGACACGGCCCAGACUCCUACGGGAGGCAGCAGUGGGGAAUUUUGGACAAUGGGGGAAACCCUGAUCCAGCAAUGCCGCGUGUGCGAAGAAGGCCUUCGGGUUGUAAAGCACUUUUGUCAGGGAAGAAAUCCUUUGGGCUAAUACCCUAGGGGGAUGACGGUACCUGAAGAAUAAGCACCGGCUAACUACGUGCCAGCAGCCGCGGUAAUACGUAGGGUGCAAGCGUUAAUCGGAAUUACUGGGCGUAAAGCGUGCGCAGGCGGUUGUGUAAGACAGGUGUGAAAUCCCCGGGCUUAACCUGGGAAUUGCAUUUGUGACUGCACGACUAGAGUGUGUCAGAGGGGGGUGGAAUUCCACGUGUAGCAGUGAAAUGCGUAGAUAUGUGGAGGAACACCAAUGGCGA
rnacentral:rRNA from 1 species